rnacentral:rRNA from 1 species
UACGGGAGGUAGCAGUGGGGAAUAUUGCACAAUGGGCGAAAGCCUGAUGCAGCUAUGCCGCGUGUAUGAAGAAGGCCUUAGGGUUGUAAAGUACUUUCAUCGGGGAGGAAAAACAAAACUAAUAAUUUUAUUUCUUGACGUUACCCGAAAAAGAAGCACCGGCUAACUCCGUGCCAGCAGCCGCGGUAAUACGGAGGGUGCUAGCGUUAAUCAGAAUUACUGGGCGUAAAGAGCACGUAGGUGGUUUUUUUAAAGUCAGAUGUGAAAUCCCUGGGCUUAACCUAGGAACUGCAUUUUGAAACUGAAAUACUAGAGUAUCGUAGAGGGAGGUAGAAUUCUAGGUGUAGCGGUGAAAUGCGUAGAUAUCUGGAGGAAUACCUGUGGCGAAAGCGGCCUCCUAAACGAAUACUGACACUGAGGUGCGAAAGCGUGGGGAGCAAACAGGGAUUAGAUACC